CCUACGGGAGGCAGCAGUGGGGAAUAUUGGACAAUGGGGGCAACCCUGAUCCAGCCAUGCCGCGUGUGUGAAGAAGGCCCUCGGGUUGUAAAGCACUUUCAGUGAGGAAGAACGCCUGGUGGUUAAUACCCAUCAGGAAAGACAUCACUCACAGAAGAAGCACCGGCUAACUCCGUGCCAGCAGCCGCGGUAAUACGGAGGGUGCGAGCGUUAAUCGGAAUUACUGGGCGUAAAGCGCGCGUAGGUGGCUUGAUAAGCCGGUUGUGAAAGCCCCGGGCUCAACCUGGGAACGGCAUCCGGAACUGUCAAGCUAGAGUGCAGGAGAGGAAGGUAGAAUUCCCGGUGUAGCGGUGACAUGCGUAGAGAUCGGGAGGAAUACCAGUGGCGAAGGCGGCCUUCUGGACUGACACUGACACUGAGGUGCGAAAGCGUGGGUAGCAAACAGGAUUAGAUACCCGAGUAGUC
rnacentral:rRNA from 1 species